CGGGGUGCAGCAGGCGCGAAAACUUUACAAUGCUGGCAACAGCGAUAAGGGGACCUCGAGUGCCAGGAUACAAUCUUGGCUGUCGUGAUGCCUAAAAAGCAUUGCAUAGCAAGGGCCGGGCAAGACCGGUGCCAGCCGCCGCGGUAACACCGGCGGCUCGAGUGGUAACCGCUAUUAUUGGGUCUAAAGGGUCUGUAGCCGGCCGGAUAAGUCUCUUGGGAAAUCCGACAGCUCAACUGUCGGGCUUUCAGGGGAUACUGUUCGGCUCGAGGCCGGGAGAGGUGAGAGGUACUUCAGGGGUAGGGGUGAAAUCUUGUAAUCCUUGAAGGACCACCAGUGGCGAAGGCGUCUCACCAGAACGGUCCUGACGGCAAGGGACGAAAGCUAGGGGCACGAACCGGAUUAGAUACCCGGGUAGUCCUAGCCGUAAACGAUACUCGCUAGGUGUCGGCCACGGUGCGACCGUGGUCGGUGCCGUAGGGAAGCCGUGAAGCGAGCCACCUGGGAAGUACGGCCGCAAGGCUGAAACUUAAAGGAAUUGGCGGGGGAGCA
rnacentral:rRNA from 1 species